UUGGCAAUUGAAGCAGUGUCAACCACGGUCAACCCUCGAUGGACCCACUGAUCAAUUGAAGUUAAAUGUCCAUUUGUUUGUAGAGAUUCGCACCCAUUUGCGACCAGUUCAUUUAAAAAUGGUGGAAGCUUGGGAAUCUCUUGUAAUUGAUGGCAAUAACUAACUGACAACAUGGACAAACGAUCAUGUUUACUAAUGGAUGUAGGGAGGCUAGUAAUAUUGUUUCCCGACAGAAUUAAGAUUUCCAACAAGGGAAAAUAAGAAAGAUCCUCAAGAAACUCUACUUCGAACAGAUUACAAUUGAGAAGGUAUAAGACUUUUAAAUUUAAAAGUCCAACCUUCAUGCACGGAUUAGCUGAAUCUGUGGGGUUUGGAAACAUGAUUGGGCCAAAAGCAGAUCUGAAGUAUUGAAGUUUUUGUAACUUGUAAAUAUUAGAUGGAAUGCUUACCGAGUUUUUGCAAAUAUCUAAAAGCAUUUCCUUUAGAGAGACAAGAUUUUCUAUUGAUGUAGGAAGUUUUUUAAUAGCGGUAUGUAGUAUGGAAAGCUUUUUCAAGCAUCCGAGUUCAUGUGGGAUAUCGGGAAAUCUUUCAAAUUUUGAGCAAACAGAAAAGUUGAGAUCUCGAAGAUUUUUUGAUUUGAGCACAUUUGGAAAAACACAGAGUUCAGGGCACCAUUUAAAAUGCAAGACUUGGAGCUUGUCAUGAUUUGCAAUCGACUCGUGGGCUUCUACCAAGUUUUUGCAAUUCCAGAGUUUCAAUUCUUCGAGAUUUGGAGCACAUGAGAGGUUGGGCGUAAUAACGAGCGACUCGCAGUCACUCAAUUUAACGUACUUCAAUUGUUUGAAGUCCUGCAAAAACAACAAAACCAACUACCAUAAACACUUUGAAAGGGAAAAAAGGGUAUCCUUAUAACGCCGUUGCCACUUCUAAGAAUUUUCAUCCUUAGGCCACAAUUCUCUUCAUGUGGAUAGAACCAAGAAUCAUCAUUAGAUUAGGCAACUUGGAACCUACUAUUUAGGGUUCUAAGUAAAUUUCUAAACCUACUAAUAACUUUUCAUUCAACAUUACUAUAUAUAUAGUAUUGAAAAAUUACUAAACCCUUAGAAACUUUACCGGUAAAUACAAAUUUUUAUGUGUCUACAAUAAAGCUCACAUUCACGAGCGAGUUUUACCUAACAAUUUAGUUUUUAUGAUCACUUUAGCGAAUAAGAGAUAACCCUUAUCAUUUAAUUUUAGAUAUUAUUUUAAAUAGUUAUAUAAUAUAUACAAAUACACAAUAUUAAAAAGAAAUCACAAAUAAAUUUUUAGACAAUCAUCAAAACAGUUAGGCAUAACAUGAUAGACCAGUAAAAGAUAUAUCAUGAUUCUUAGAAAAUCACUCGUUGGUUUUACAAACAAUGGGAUGCUAUAUAUCAAACAAAAACUAAUCCUAGCAAGUAAUAACAUCGUACCAUUUAAUGUUUGAUGCAGUAAAUAUGACAUGAUUCUUUUCAUAUAUAUAUUUCAGACAAUUACAUUUCGUAUUUAAGAAUUGCACUUUACCAAACAUGGAAAAAAAUUAAGGGCUAGUUAGUUUAAAUUUCUAAAUUACUCCGAUAUUGUCAAAGACAAUUCCUGUUACUUUAUAGUUGAUGGAGAUAAUUUAUAUCACCUUAUAAUUGGUGACAAUUCCUGGUGGCCUGCUCCUACGGGAUCACUUAUAUCGAAUUAGUUGUACAUGCAUUACUAGCAAGAUGUUUAAUAAAUAUUUAAUUACGGGUACUUAGAAAUGCUACUCCUUCAGAACUGAUUUGAGCAAAUAAUGAUGUAUUUUUUUACAGCACGGUGCAGUACAAAUGCCGCCCUUUACAACAUACAUUGGAAAGCCUCCAUGACUUGGAGACUACGUGGCCUCUAAGGUUAUUUUGAAAGUGAGAUAUUAUGAUCAAUAUAUCUGACCAACCACAUUUAAAUUAAAUGCUUGACCAUUUAACAAGCUAUUCCUUGGGCGUUUUUACUUUUGUAUAUAUGUCAACGGGUUAAUUCAUCAUGUUUUUGUUUCCCUUUAUCUGACCAAUAUACAAUUAUUUUUUGUAUAUAAAAAUGUUUAUAUGUAAACUAGUGACAUAGUUAGAAUUAGGUGAAAUAGUUUAUACUAGCAUAUUUGCAUUUUAAAUUUCUUCCCUAGGUAGAUUUAAUUUUGAAAUAAAACUACAUCAAUAGUUUGAGAUAUUAGGUUUAGAAAGUAUUUGUCCUUCUAUAUAUAAUAAAAACCUUCUACUUGUGAGGGAUUUUAACCUCUUUUUCAUUCCUUCCAUCCAUGAUCUUCAGUUGCUCAUUUUACAAAUAUAAUAUCCAUGGACAAAUGCACGAAAUCGAUUAUUUUAUUUUAUCUCUCACAUAUUUCAAUAUAUUAAAAAUUGAAUUUAAUCAUGAUUCAAUGGCCUUCAUAAGAAAAUUCAAUUUUUUUCUUUCUGCAUAUAAUAAUAGAAUUUGUUUGUAUCAUGUAUUUUACCCGCAAAAUGUUUUCAUUGCGGAUUUCUUAUAAAGAUGUUUCACUUAAUUUUUCAAUGCCAAUUAUGUUGCACGUUAUUUCCAACGCAAGUAGUUAACGACAUUCUGCAAGAAAAUAGAGUAGUGGUUUCUAAAACAGAGGAACACCAUUUCCUUAGGGAUACUAGUGCAUACAGUACGCAAACGGCCAUACAAAUGAAGCAGAUAAUAAAAAGGUCUAUGUAGAUAAAUGCUCACCUUACUAAUUGAUGAUGUGGACAAACGAUCACGCUUGAUGGAUGUAGAAAGGCUGGUAAUAUUGUUCCCCGACAAAAUUAAGAUUUUCAACAAGGGGAAACAAGAAAGAUCCUCGAGCAACUCUACUUGGGAUAGAUUACAAUUUAAAAGGUCUGACACAUUUGAAUUUGGAAGUUCGAUCUUCAUGCAUGGAUCAACUGAAUUCCAAAGGUUUGGAAACACGAUUCGGCAAAGAAAAGAUUUGAACCAUUGAAGAUUUUGUAACUUGUAAUUGUUAGAUGGACGACUUAUAGGGUUUUUGCCCAUGUCUAAAUGUAUUUUCUCUAGAGAGACAAGAUUUUUUAUUGAUGUAGGAAGUUCUUUUAAAGCGGUAUGUCGUAUGGAAAGUUCUUUCAGGCCUCUGAGUUCAUCUGGAAUAUCGGGGAAUCUUUCCAAUUUUGGGCAAUCGGAAAGUUUGAGAUCUCGAAGAUUUUUUGACUUGAGCACAUUCGGAAAAACACAAAGUUCAGGGCACCAUUUAAAAUGCAAGACCCGGAGCUUGUCAUGAUAUGCAAUCGACUCGUG
rnacentral:lncRNA from 1 species